UUCUAUGGCCAUUCCACCCUGAACAAGCCCGAUCCCAUCUGAUCUCGGAAGCUAAGCAGGGUCGGGCCUUGCUAGUACUUGGAUGGGAGACCACUUAGGAAGACCAGGGGCCGUAGGCG
rnacentral:rRNA from 1 species